CACAAGAUGAAUGGAUUAACCACUGGAAGACCUGCACUACUACAAAUGUUAAAGAAAGUCCUUCCAAGAAAGAAAAAAGGCAACUUAAUGGAAACUUGUGUCUACCAAAUGGAAAGAAGAGCAAUGGGAAUCCUAACUACGGUACACUGAAGAACACUUUUGCAGCUGACUAACAACUCUUGAUAUUGAGAAAGUUAUCAGAAUUAUUUGCAAAUCUCCUCUCAGAUUUGCAAAGGAUGCUGGCAUUUCUCCAUGAGGCAGGAGUGUGAGAAAAAAAGUUGAAUGUGGUGAUGGGGAAAACACUGAAGUUCAAAAGAAGCGAAGACAAGAAGCUACUCAUGGCAGCAGCUUUUCCCAUAAAUCAAGAAAUGCUACAGAUUAUAAAUGAGAUGAGACUAUCAAGAAGAGACCUAAUAGGAGUGUGAAGACCAAAAAUUUAAAAGACGUGGUUAUAUACUUUGAGUAAACUCUAUAUAUAGGACAAUGUUAUUGUUUGGUUCUGUGUUCCUCACUCAAAUCUCACCUCAAAUUAUAAUCCCCAUGUGUCAAGGGCAGGACCAGGUGGAAGUAACUGGAUCAUGGGGGAAGUUUUCCUCAUGCUUUUCUCAUAGUAAGUGAGUUCUCAUAAGAUCUGAUUUUUUUAUAAGCAUAUGGCAUUUCCCCUCCUAGCAUUUUGCCUCCUGCUGCCUUGCAAAGACGGCAGUUGCUUCCCCUUUGCCUUCCGCCAUGACUGUAAGUUCCCUGAGUCCUCUCCAGCCAUGUGGAACUGUGGGUUAAUUAAAUCUCUUUCCUUAUAAAUUACCCAGUCUUGGGCAGUUCUUUAUAGCAGUGUGAAACUGGACUAAAAUAGAAAAUUGGUACCAGGAGAGUGAGGCACUGCUGUAAAGACAUCACUAUAAAGGCACCUGAAAAUGGAAGCAACUUUGGAACUAGCUAAUGGGCAGAGGUUGGAACCAUUUGCAGGGUUCAGAAGAAGACAUGAAGAUGUGGGAAAGUUUGGAAAUUCCUGGAGACUUGUUGAAUGCUUUGACGAAAAUGCUGAUACUGAUAUGGACAAUAAAUUUCAGGCUGAGAUGCUCUCAGAUACAAAUAAAGAACUUGUUGGGAACUGGAAUAAAGGUGACUAUUUGCUAUAUAUGCUUUAGCAAAGAGACUGGUGGCAUUUUGCCUCUGUCCUAGAGAUCUGUGGAGCUUUGAACAUGAGAAAGAUGAUUUAGAAUAUCUGGUGGAAGAAAUUUAUAUGCAGCAAAGUGUUCAAGAAGUGACUCGGGUGCUCUUAAAACCAUUCAGUUGUAUGCAUUCACAAAGAUAUGGUUUGGAAUUGGAACUUAUGUUUAAAAGGGAAGCAGAGAAUAAGAGUUCAGAAAAUUUGCAGCCUGAUGAUGCAAUAGAAAAGAAAAAUCUCAUUUUCUGGGGAGAAAUUCAAGCCUGCUGCAGAAAUUUGCGUAAGUAACAAGGAGACAAAUGUUAGUCACCAAGACAAUGGAGAAUAUGGCCUCAGUCAAUGUCGGAUGUCUUCACUGCAAGCCCUCCAAUCACAGGCCUGAAGGAUUGGAGAGAAAAAAUAAUUUUGUGGGCAAGGCCCAGGGACUUGCUGCUUUGUGCAGUCUCUGAACUUGGUGCCCUGCAUCCCAGCUGUGUCUAAUAGUGGCCAACAUACAGCUCAGGCCAUUGCUUUAGAGGGUGAAAGCCCCAAGCCAUGGUGUCUUACAUGUGGUUUUGGGCCUGCAGAUGCACAGAUGUCAAGAAUUGAGGUUUGAGAACCUCCACCUAGAUUUCAGAGGAUGUAUGGAAACUCUUGGAUGUCCAGGCAGAAGAGUACUACAGGGGCAGAGCUCUCCAUGGAGAACAUCUGCUAGGGCAGUGCAGAGUCCCCACUGGGGCGCUGACUAGUGGAGCUGUGAGAAGAAGGCCACCAACCUCCAGACCCCAGAAUGGUAGAUCCACCAACAUCUUGCAUCGUACACCUAGAAAAGUCACAGACGCUCAACAACACCUCAUGAAAGUAGCCAGGAGAGGCGCUGUAUCCUGCAAAGCCACAGAGGCAGAGCUGCCCAAGGCUGUGGUAUCCCACCUCCUACAUCAGUGUGAUUGGAUGUGAGACAUGUAGUCAAAUGAGGUCAUUUUGGAACUUUUAAGACUUAAUGACUGCUUUAUUGUAUUUUGGACUUGCAUGAGGCUUGUAGCCCCUUUGUUUUAGCCAGUUUAUCUCAUUUGGAAUGGGACUAUUUAUCCAAAGCCUGUACCCCAUUGUAUCUAGGAAGUAACUGACUUGCUUUGGAUUUUACAAGCUCAUAGGCAGAAGGGACUUCCCUUGUCUCAGAUGAGACUUUGGACUGUGGCCUUUUGAGUUAAUGUUAAAAUGAGUUAAGACUUUGAGGAACUGUUGGGGAGGCAUGAUUAGUUUUGAAAUGUAAAAAGACAUGAGAUUUGGGAGGGGCCAAGGACAGAAUAAUACGGUUUGGCUCUGUGUCCCCUUCCAAAUUUCACCUUUAAUUGUAAUCGCCAUAACCCCCACAUGUCAAUGGUGGAAACAGGUAGAGGUAAUUGGAUCGUGGAGGCAGUUUCUUCUAUGCUGUUAUUCAUGAUAGCGAAUGAGUUUUCAUGAGAUCUGAUGGUUUUAUAAGCAUCUGGCAUUUCUUCUGCUUGCACUUCUCAUUCCUGCCACCUUGUGAAGAAGGUGCUUUUCUUCCCAUUUGCGUUCAACCAUUAUUAUAAGUUUCCAGAGGCAAACCCAGCCACACAGAAGUGUGAGUCAAUUAAACCUCUUUUUUAAUAAAUUACCACUCUCAAACAGUUCUUUAUGGCAGUAUGAAGACAGACUAACACAGAAAGAUAUAGCUGUUUUGGAAACAUCAGAAGUACAGUUGUAGCAAUAAAUAAAAUAUGAAUAGAUUAACUUUCGUACACCUAUUUGUGUUGAAAGCACCAGGAGUCAUAGCCAACAAUCACUUUAAUAUUUCUCCAGCUAAUUCUUCUGAUUUAUUUUUAUGUUUGGUUAGCCAGUGACUUCCCCACUAGCUAAAAAAUAUUUUUAAAAGUAUGUAUGUGUUAAUAUAUCUUGACUACUUUUUAAUUUUCCAAUUAAAAAAUAAAUCACACUUUAAUCUCUGUGUCUUGAUUUUUCUCAUUUAAGAAGAGCUCAUUGAC
rnacentral:lncRNA from 1 species